rnacentral:rRNA from 1 species
GACGAACGCUGGCGGCGUGCUUAACACAUGCAAGUCGAACGGAAAGGCCCUGCUUUUGUGGGGUGCUCGAGUGGCGAACGGGUGAGUAUCACGUGAGUAACCUGCCCUUGACUUUGGGAUAACUUCAGGAAACUGGGGCUAAUACCGGAUAGGAGCUCCUGCUGCAUGGGGGGGGUUGGAGAGAUUCGGCGGUUGGGGAUGGACUCGCGGCUUAUCAGCUUGUUGGUGGGGUAGUGGCUUACCAAGGCUUUGACGGGUAGCCAGCCUGAGAGGGUGACCGGCCACAUUGGGACUGAGAUACGGCCAAGACGGCAACGGGAGGCAGCGGUGGGGAAUAUUGCACAAUGGGCGGAAGCAUGAAGCAGCAACGCCGCGUGCGGGAUGACGGCCUUCGGGUUGUAAACCGCUUUCGCCUGUGACGAAGCGUGAGUGACGGUAAUGGGUAAAGAAGCACCGGCUAACUACGUG